CUCGUCUCCUGUGCCGCACUCCCGCACAGAGCUUCACGACUUCACACUGUCACAGACGGCAAAUCUCAGUGCUCACUGCUCACCUCACAGCUCACGGGCUUAGUGGCUCACACAGUCACAUGGACCACAUGGUCAGACUCAUACGAUGAGUUCAGCAGCAGGUGAAAAUGAUGAUUUGAUUGAUUUGGACCCAUUUAAGUCAAAAAGUUUUCAAAAUGAGGAAUCUAAAACAAAAUGAAGGAAACGGUCAAACGUGUGGACUUUUUUUGAAAUAGUUCCUGAGUCUGAGAACAAUGAGGGUAAGCCAAGUGCAAGAUGUGUGGAGUUACUUACAUGGCUGCGAGUAAAUAUGGAACCGGAAAUAUGAAGCGUCAAUGUGACGCAUGCCCUAGGAGAAGUUCACGAGAUAUUGGUCAGAUGAUGUUAUCACAAAAUAGUGGAUCUAUUUCGGUAAGCACUCAUAAAUUUGAAACUGAACAAUAUAGAAAACUUUUGAUAGCUGCUAUUGUGAAGCAUGAAUUGCAUUUUUGAUUUGUUGAAUACUCAGGGGUGAGAUCUUUGUUACAAUAUUUGCGUUUGGAUGUUCCAAUUAUUUCUAGGAAUACUGCCAAGGCUGAUUUGGUUAGGAUAUAUAAUCGAAAAAAAAAAGGAUUAAAUGCAUGUUAAAUGAUUCUCCUGGUAGAAUUAGUCUAGCAUCUAACUUUUGGACUUCUAUAACCACUGAUGGUUAAAUGUGCAUUACAACACAUUUUUUGGAUAAGAACUGGGUUCUGCAGAAAAGGGUUUUGAACUUUUCUUUUAUGCCACCACCACAUAAUGACAUAUUUUUGUCUAAAAAAAUUUAUAAUUUGCUAUGUGAGUGGGGAAUUCAACACAAGAUUUUUAUAUUGACUUUAGACAAUGCUUCUUCUAAUGUUAUUUCAGUGGAGUUGUUAAGAACUUAAUUGAACAUUUAAGAAAGCUCUUCUUUGUGAUGGUGAGUUCUUCCAUCUUCGUUGUUGCGCUCAUAUUGUGAAUUUGGUAGUACAAGAUGGGUUAAAAGAGAUUAAUUCUGCUAUCCAAAAAGUUCGUGAAAGUAUCAAGUAUGUCAAAGGGUCACAAUCAAGGAAAGUAAAAUUUUUAGAUUCUACAAAUCAAAUGUCUUUGGAUAGCAAGAAAGGGUUGAAACAGAAUAUUCCCACUAGAUGGAAUUCUACUUUUCUUAUGCUUGAGAGUGCUCUUUUCUAUCGUCGUGCCUUCAGUCAUUUGGAGUUGACUGAUUCUAAUUUUAAGCAUUGUCCAUCAACAUUUGAUUGGGAAAAAAUAGAGAAGAUUAACAGUUUAUUGGGAGUUUUUUAUGAAGCCACUUGUGAUUUUUCUGGGACCAAAUACCCUACAGUCAAUCUGUACUUUCCAGCAGUGUUUUUGAUUUAUUUUACAUUAAAGCGGCACUCUGAGGGUGAAGAUGACUACAUGAAAACCACGUCUUGUAAAAUGCUUGCUAAGUUUGAGAAAUAUUGGUCCGAAUUCAAUGUAUUGUUGGCUAUAGCAGUUAUUUUGGAUCCUCGAUGCAAGUUUCGUUUUGUUGAUUUUUCUUAUGCAAAACUUUAUAGAGAUUGUUCCAUUGAGUAUAUGAAUGUUGAGAGCAAAAUGUCAUCUCUUUUCAUGGAAUAUAGUUCUUCUAGUGCUCCCACAUGUUCUACCACGACUUCUAAUAGCACUUAUAGUAGAGCGAAAAGUCAAUCUUCGAUUAAUAAACAAGUAUUUCAGGUAAUAUCAAACAAUAUUUUUUGUUUAAUGAUUUAUGUUAUAUUGUUGUUUCAUAUCACAUAUUGGCUUGAAAUAUUUUUAUAUUUUUUUUUGUACAGGAAUUUGAUUCAUUUAGACAUGAUGACCUUAUUGCCCAUAUGCAAAAAAGUCAAUUGGAUCUUUACUUGAAUGAACCUAGGGCAGAUAGAAAUGCAAAGAUUGACAUUCUUUCUUUUUGGAAAGGAAAUGAAUUUCAUUAUCCUGAUCUUGCUUGUAUGGCUCGUGAUAUUUUGAGUAUUUCAAUUUCUACAAUUGCAUCUGAAUCUACUUUUAGUAUUGGUGGGCGUAUCAUUGAUUAGUUUAGGAGUGCACUAAAAGUAGAUGUUGUUGAAGCAUUAGUCUGCACUAGAGAUUGGCUAUAUGGCGAGGAACAAGAAACACAAGAAGUUAAAUUGGACGAGUUAACCGAAGAUGUAAUGGAGUUGGAGAAAAACAAGGGCAAGGAGGACGCUCCACCUCAUUCUUGAAGCUCUAAAUUUGUUUAGAUCUGUGUUUUUAUUGUAUUUGGGAUUGUAACAUUAAUAUAUUUUCUGUGUGUUUUGUUUA